rnacentral:rRNA from 1 species
GACGAACGCUGGCGGCGUGCCUAACACAUGCAAGUCGAACGGAAAGGCCCGGUCUUGGGGGGGUCCGCGAGUGGCGAACGGGGGAGCAACACGUGAGUAAGCUGUCCUUGACCUAGGGAUAUCCUCAGGAAACUGGGGCUAAUACCGCAAAUGAGCUCCCGCUUUAUGGUGGGGGCUGGUUAGUUUCGGUGGUUGGGCAUGGACUCGCUGCUUAUCAGCUUGUUGGUGGGGUAGUGGCAUACCAAGGCUCUGCCGGGUAGCAGACCUGCGCGGGUAGCCGGCCACAUUGGACCUGAGCUGCGGCCCAGACUCCUCCGGGAGGCAACAGUGGGGUAUAUUGCACAAUGGGCUGGAGCCUGGUGCAACACCGCCGCGUGCGGGGUGAUAGGCUUCGGGUUGUGAACCGAUUCCGCCUGUGACGAAGCGUGAGUGACGGUACCGGGUGAAUAAGCACCGGCUAACUCCGUG